GGGCGGGGCGGGCUGUGCGCGGCGCUGCACCCCCCGGGCUGGUCGGGAGCGCGUCCGUCCCCGCUUCAGCCCGCGCCGCUGCCAGGCGCAAAGCAGGCCUAUUGUCUAACUCCCACAAGUGUCUGAUCAUGUGCAGGAAGAGGUGGUGAAGUAAGGUAAGUAACAGUUUGUUACUGUUCCUUUCUGUCCCAGCAGCUGCUUUUUCAUACCAAAAGGUCAACAAGGAAGUGGGGAAAAUUCUGGCUUUUCCCACCUAUACAGAUUCUGCGCAGCACGCAGGCAGGGCAGCCUCUUUCACAGUGUGACACUAUUUCUAAAGCCGAAGCUUACCCUCAGUGAUGUGGUAGCCAUUACCCAUCUGGAGGCCAUUCCCAUUCACCAGGGCUGUCACCUGAUGCACAGUGGAGUCACUGGUUGCCUCUUCUUCCUCUUCCUCCUUGUCUUCUGCCUCAGAGUCCACCAGCACUAAGA